GGCUUAACACAUGCAAGUCGAGGGGUAACGACUCCGUCUUCGGAUGGAGGUCGACGACCGGCGCACGGGUGAGUAACGCGUAUGCAACCUACCUUUUACAGGAGGAUAGCCCAGAGAAAUUUGGAUUAAUACUCCAUAGUACUAAUGAAUCACCUGGUUUAUUAGUUAAAACUCCGGUGGUAAAAGAUGGGCAUGCGUGUCAUUAGCUAGUUGGUAAGGUAACGGCUUACCAAGGCGAAGAUGACUAGGGGUUCUGAGAGGAAGAUCCCCCACACUGGUACUGAGACACGGACCAGACUCCUACGGGAGGCAGCAGUGAGGAAUAUUGGUCAAUGGGUGAGAGCCUGAACCAGCCAUGCCGCGUGAAGGAAGACUGCCCUAUGGGUUGUAAACUUCUUUUCUGCAGGAAGAAAUCACUCUACGUGUAGGGUGUUGCCGGUACUGCAGGAAUAAGCAUCGGCUAACUCCGUGCCAGCAGCCGCGGUAAUACGGAGGAUGCAAGCGUUAUCCGGAUUUAUUGGGUUUAAAGGGUGCGUAGGCGGGCUUGUAAGUCAGUGGUGAAAUGCUGUGGCUUAACCAUAGAAUUGCCAUUGAAACUGCAAGUCUUGAGUACAGUUGAGGUGGGCGGAAUGAGUAAUGUAGCGGUGAAAUGCAUAGAUAUUACUCAGAACUCCGAUUGCGUAGGCAGCUUGCUAAACUGUAACUGACGCUGAUGCACGAAAGCGUGGGGAGCGAACAGGAUUAGAUACCCUGGUAGUCCACGCUGUAAACGAUGAGCACUGGUUGUUGGCAAUACACCGUCAGCGACUGAGCGAAAGUAUUAAGUGCUCCACCUGGGGAGUACGUCGGCAACGAUGAAACUCAAAGGAAUUGACGGGGGCCCGCACCAAGCGGAGGAACAUGUGGUUUAAUUCGAUGAUACGCGAGGAACCUUACCUGGGCUUAAAUGUAGAGUGCAUUGCUUGGAAACAGGCAUUUUCUUCGGAACUCUUUACAAGGUGCUGCAUGGUUGUCGUCAGCUCGUGCCGUGAGGUGUCGGGUUAAGUCCCAUAACGAGCGCAACCCCUAUUGUUAGUUACCAGCA
rnacentral:rRNA from 1 species